rnacentral:lncRNA from 1 species
CCUAAUCAUGUGCCCAAGACCCCUACUAAUCCGGAUGGUCGGAUUCUUAUUCAGAUUCGCCCUCCUCCUGAUAGCACGUACGUCCCGCAUCAUUUAUAUAUAAGCAUUUUAGAUUCCAUUUAUACAAGAUAUAUAGAACUUAUAUGUAAAUUGCUUUCAAAUAUCUACUUAUCGUUGAUGUAAAUUGUUGUAUAUUAUAAUAAUUUUUCAGAUAAUAAGAUCGUCAAGUGCAUAUCACAGCUGUGUUUACAGAAUUGGCCUACACCUGUGAUUACGUGGGCGAGCACACCUAUCGCCCACAAGGAUGUUGUUUGGGCUGAAUUUCAGGUAUGUUUUUUUUAAUUAUGAUAGAUAAUAUAAUAUUCUAAGGAUAAUUGUUUAUAUAGUAAUAUUAUUAUUAUUGUUUUAUUUGCAGAAAAGGUAUAGAUGGGAGGACGCGCAGGCGUCAGUGAUACAGACAUUAUUCUGGCAGAAGUGCGCGGUCCGCACCAAAGAUAAUUUGAAUAAAGAACGACAAAAAGCCCUCCACAAUGCAUCGAUCGACCAUCCAGGCUAAAGAGAGGAUUACAUGCACGAGCAUAGCCCCUGGUGGUGCACCCAGUCCAUAUAAGGCUGAGAUGUGCAACCAAUGGAGAGCUGAGAGCUGGG